UCCAGACUCCUACGGGAGGCAGCAGUGGGGAAUAUUGCACAAUGGGCGCAAGCCUGAUGCAGCCAUGCCGCGUGUAUGAAGAAGGCCUUCGGGUUGUAAAGUACUUUCAGCGGGGAGGAAGGUGUUGUGGUUAAUAACCACAGCAAUUGACGUUACCCGCAGAAGAAGCACCGGCUAACUACGUGCCAGCAGCCGCGGUAAUACGGAGGGUGCAAGCGUUAAUCGGAAUUACUGGGCGUAAAGCGCACGCAGGCGGUCUGUCAAGUCGGAUGUGAAAUCCCCGGGCUCAACCUGGGAACUGCAUUCGAAACUGGCAGGCUGGAGUCUUGUAGAGGGAGGUAGAAUUCCAGGUGUAGCGGUGAAAUGCGUAGAGAUCGGGAGGAAUACCGGUGGCGAAGGCGGCCCCCUGGACAAAGACUGACGCUCAGGUGCGAAAGCGUGGGGAGCAAACAGGAUUAGAUACCCGAGUA
rnacentral:rRNA from 1 species